rnacentral:tRNA from 1 species
CGUGGCUGUUGGGCGAGAACCCGGCCCGCUCCAGCACCUCCUCCACCUUGCGCCGGAUCACCGGGACGCGGCGG